GCCCAGAUGGCGGAAUUGGUAGACGCGCUGGUCUCAAACACCAGUUCCUUCACCGGAGUGCCGGUUCGACCCCGGCUCUGGGUACCA
rnacentral:tRNA from 1 species